rnacentral:rRNA from 1 species
CCUACGGGAGGCAGCAGUAGGGAAUCUUGCGCAAUGGGCGAAAGCCUGACGCAGCCAUGCCGCGUGAAUGAUGAAGGUCUUAGGAUUGUAAAAUUCUUUCACCGGGGACGAUAAUGACGGUACCCGGAGAAGAAGCCCCGGCUAACUUCGUGCCAGCAGCCGCGGUAAUACGAAGGGGGCUAGCGUUGCUCGGAAUUACUGGGCGUAAAGGGAGCGUAGGCGGAUAGUUUAGUCAGAGGUGAAAGCCCAGGGCUCAACCUUGGAACUGCCUUUGAUACUGGCUAUCUUGAGUAUGGGAGAGGUGAGUGGAACUCCGAGUGUAGAGGUGAAAUUCGUAGAUAUUCGGAAGAACACCAGUGGCGAAGGCGACUCACUGGCCCAUUACUGACGCUGAGGCUCGAAAGCGUGGGGAGCAAACAGGAUUAGAUACCCUGGUAGUCCACGCCGUAAACGAUGAGUGCUAGUUGUCGGCAUGCAUGCAUGUCGGUGACGCAGCUAACGCAUUAAGCACUCCGCCUGGGGAGUACGGUCGCAAGAUUAAAACUCAAAGAGUAGUAGACGUGAGAGACGCGACGACGACGACGACGGAGGAGGAGG